rnacentral:rRNA from 1 species
AUUGAACGCUGGCGGCAGGCCUAACACAUGCAAGUCGAACGAGUGGCGGACGGGUGAGUAAUGUCUGGGAAACUGCCUGAUGGAGGGGGAUAACUACUGGAAACGGUAGCUAAUACCGCAUACCAUCAGAUGUGCCCAGAUGGGAUUAGCUAGUUGGUGGGGUAACGGCUCACCAAGGCGACGAUCCCUAGCUGGUCUGAGAGGAUGACCAUGCACGCUGGGACUGAGACACGGUCCCGACUCAUACGGGGUGCAUCAGGUGGGAAUAUUGCAAGAUGGGCGCAAUCUUGAGACAGCCAUGCCGCGUGUAUGAAGAAGGCCUUCGGGUUGUAAAGUAAUUUCGGCGGGGAGGCGUUACCCGCAGAAGAAGCACCGGCUAACUCCGUGCCAGCAGCCGCGGUAAUAC